rnacentral:pre_miRNA from 1 species
UCUUAUGGAUGAGCAAAGAAAGUGGUUUCUUGAGGAGGAAUCUACUCCUGGUGAAGAUGCUGUGAA